CGGAGGGUGCAAGCGUUAUCCGGAUUCACUGGGUUUAAAGGGUGCGUAGGUGGGCAGGUAAGUCAGUGGUGAAAUCUCCGGGCUUAACCCGGAAACUGCCAUUGAUACUAUCUGUCUUGAAUACCCUGGAGGUGAGCGGAAUAUGUCAUGUAGCGGUGAAAUGCUUAGAUAUGACAUAGAACACCCAUUGCGAAGGCAGCUCACUACGGGAGUAUUGACACUGAGGCACGAAAGCGUGGGGAUCAAACAGGAUUAGAUACCCUGGUAGUCCACGCCCUAAACGAUGGAUACUCGACAUCAGCGAUAAACUGUUGGUGUCUGAGCAAAGCAUUAAGUAUCCCACUGGGAAGUACGAUCGCAAGAUUG
rnacentral:rRNA from 1 species